CCUACGGGUGGCAGCAGUGAGGAAUAUUGGUCAAUGGACGAGAGUCUGAACCAGCCAAGUAGCGUGAAGGAUGACUGCCCUAUGGGUUGUAAACUUCUUUUAUAUGGGAAUAAAACGUUCCACGUGUGGGAUUUUGUAUGUACCAUAUGAAUAAGGAUCGGCUAACUCCGUGCCAGCAGCCGCGGUAAUACGGAGGUGCCGAGCGUUAUCCGGAUUUAUUGGGUUUAAAGGGAGCGUAGGUGGAUUGUUAAGUCAGUUGUGAAAGUUUGCGGCUCAACCGUAAAAUUGCAGUUGAAACUGGCAGUCUUGAGGACAGUAGAGGUGGGCGGAAUUCGUGGUGUAGCGGUGAAAUGCUUAGAUAUCACGAAGAACUCCGAUUGCGAAGGCAGUUCACUGGACUGCAACUGACACUGAGGCUCGAAAGUGUGGGUAUCAAACAGGAUUAGAUACCCGAGUAGUC
rnacentral:rRNA from 1 species